UACGAAGGGGGCUAGCGUUGCUCGGAAUUACUGGGCGUAAAGCGCACGUAGGCGGUCUUUUAAGUCGGGGGUGAAAUCCUGGAGCUCAACUCCAGAACUGCCUUCGAUACUGGAAGACUUGAGUCCGGGAGAGGUGAGUGGAACUGCGAGUGUAGAGGUGAAAUUCGUAGAUAUUCGCAAGAACACCAGUGGCGAAGGCGGCUCACUGGCCCGGUACUGACGCUGAGGUGCGAAAGCGUGAGGAGCAAACAGG
rnacentral:rRNA from 1 species